ACGAGAAGAACCUUACCCGGUNUAAAUCUUGUGACCGCUCGAGAAAAGGAGUUUCCCUUGGGGCACAAAGNAACAUGUGGCACAGGGGUNUUCAGAUCUUGUGUUGAGAGAUUGCGGUUAAUGUCGCAAAGAGCGCAACCCCCGUGAUUAGUUUCCACCACGUAAGGGUGGGCACUCUAAGCAGACUGCCGGUGACAAACCGGAGGAAGGUGGGGAUGACGUCAAGUCAUCAUGCCCCUUAUGUCCUGGGCUACACACGUGCUACAAUGGAUGGUACAAAGGGAAGCCAACCGGCGAGGAAGCAAAUCCCAUAAAACCNUUNUCAGUUCGGAUGGCUNUGCAAUUNGCCUCCAUGAAGNUCGGAAUCGNUAGUANGGNA
rnacentral:rRNA from 1 species